AAAAUUUUUAGCGCCAGAACACAUGAUUUAAAAAUUCUUGUGUUGACGAGGUCUAGAGUUAUCGAAUUAUUCGGCGGAUGCUCUAGUGGAUUACUUAAUCCAUAGUAUUAAACAAAAAUUAGCAGUAAUGCUAUAACAAAUAUUAAUA
rnacentral:ncRNA from 1 species